CUUUACUUCACGCAGGAUAGCAUUUUGGCUAUAAUCUUCCUGCAUUAUGGUAUAGAGUAGCCUCUUAAACAGCUUUAGCAGGUUUAAACAACUUGAAUCCUUGUUGACAACACUGCUUAUGAAGAAAACAUAUCAUCAAAUGUUUAGCACUACAUACAGACUUGAUCAUGAGCUUAUUUACUAAACGGGAGGUAACAGACAAGUCCUGCAACCGAUUAUGGAAAGUUUGUGAAGGAAUUCCCAUGAGGUGAAUAAAAGAAUCAUAACCAAUACCCCAAAAACAUCCAUCUGACAAGCACUGCAUACUGACUGGAAACUGGGCCUCAAAAUACACUGAAAACCCCUCUCUCUGAAGAAAAUGAUUUACAUCUUCAUUCUUCAACCACCUCCAGCGUAGGCAAAGAAAAGACACCUCCUGCAGAGGCAAAGAAAUUCCAAUGAGUAAUAGAUCUUAGACUCUCACUACCUGUUUGUUAAUGUAUCUGUCUAAGUAAAUGCACUAUUUUUCUUAAUAAUAAACAUCCCUGGGUCUUA